UUUGUAUCAGAUGGUGUCAGAAGACACUAAAGUAAAUUCCCCGUUGCUUUGUUCGCUCAGUUGGUCUGUUUGCCUAUGCUGGAACAUAGUCAAAAGAAUGAUGUAUGGUGAACAAUGGAGAACUUGGAGAACUAUGACACAUACAUGUUCCAGGAAAAGAAGGCCUUUUCCCUCAGAUACCUUUUAUUCCCUGUAUUGUUCUUAGAUGUGAUUGUUGUGCCUCCCUGUGACAAAUAUUUACAUUCAAUUUAUAAAACAUGUCCAUUCUUGUUGAUUGUCAGAACAUAGCCACAGAACCCAAUCUGGUCCUAGUGCCCUGAGUCUGAAUAGGGCCUUCUGCCUUGCUUUAGUGCUUCCCCAGAAAUAAUUUCUAGUCAGGCGAUUGGUCUGUCUUAAGAAAGUUGUGAGAAAGGGCUGCUCUGUUAAUAUUUAGUAGGUGCUUACUGGUGUUCAUUAACAUGUUUUUUCUGAUCAUGGUUUUCUGAACUCUAACAGCCUUCCUUGGAUCACUGCUUUCUUUGAUAUAUUCAUGUAUGAAAGUGCACUGAAACUGAGCCAUCCUGUUUGUCCACCUCCUUCUCCACAGACUGGAUAUUGGACUCCUGACUCCUCUUCCUCAGGAAUCUCAAACAGUAUCCAAAGCUGUCCAAGAACCUCCGAUUGUCCUAUCCUCUUUGGAUCCAAGAAUUCAAUUUACCUCCUAAGCCAGAACACCUGCAGGUCCAGACGGCCUGCCAAGAUGGAACUGUACACCAAGUUCCUGUUACAACAGCAAAGUCAAACACAGCAAGCAAAGGAAGAAUGAUUCCUAAAGAUGUUCAAGUCACUCACAACAAGGAGCAGAAGCUGAGGGACAAAAAACUACCAGAAAACAAAAUACAAAGUAAAUGGGAAAUAUGGCAUAGUAAUAGUUACCUUGGAAGAUGAGGUGGCAUGUACUUACAGUCCCAGUAGCUGGGAGUCUGAGACAAGAAGAUUGCCACAAGUGUGAAGCCAAUCUCAACUACAUAGUGAGUUUUAAGCCAACCUGUGGUACACUGUGAGAUCCUUUCUCAAACAAACAUAAAAUAAAUGGUCUGAAACUGGGUGGUGCUGGUGCAUGUCUUUAAUCCAUCAGAGGCAGGUGGAUCUCUGAGUCCAAGGCCAGCCUGACCUACAGAGUAAGUUCCAGGACAUGCAGGGAUACACAGAGAAACCCUGUCUCAAAAACAAAACAAAAAGGUCUGACUACAUCAAUCAAAAGACAGAAUUUGGAGGAGGUGAUUUAAAGACAAUUUGAUAGGCUGUGGCCAUUACAGCCUGAACUAGCAAGAUCUCAUCUAAAGGUGACCUCUCCAUGUUCUAUUUGCAAAAAUUCAAGAACAGCACAGGAAGUCUGGAAACUGGAAAAGAAACUCUACACACAUCAACCGCAAAGAACAAGAGUUGCCUUGCCUUUGUCUACUCACCAGCUAUUGGGCUCACCCUGAGGCUACUAAUGGUUGUUUUGGUUUGUUUUUUAAACUCUGUGUGUUCUCUAUAAUGACUGUACUAACUGGUAUUCUCACCAUCAAUAUGAAAGAGCCCUCCUCCCUGUGUCUGCAAGCGCCCAACGUGUAUUACUUUUAUGUGUCUUGAUAAGAGUCCUGUUAACUAGAGGUAACAUUCCAUGGAGUUUCUAAUUCGUAUUUCCCUCUUGUUUGGUGGGGAUUGUGAUUAGGGACUCUCCCACCGUUUUAAUCAUUUGCAUAUCCUGUUUUUGAUAUGCCAAACCUUUUGUUCUUAGCUGGAUGCUCUGGUUUUCUCCACUGAGCAGCUUGGGGGACUCUCUUAUCCCCAACUUCAGGCCCGCCAUGGAUAAGUUACCUGCCAAUGCUUUCUCCCAUUCUGCAGACUGUCACUUUGCAGUUGUCCCCUUUCCUGUACAGAAGCUUCAUAGUUUGAUUUAAUCCUGGUUGUCAAUUUUUACUUCUGUUGCCUAGCAUUUGGGGUCAUGGUCCCAAAAUUUUUUGCUCUGGCCUGCAUCUUAUUUUCCUUGGGCAAGUCUAGUCAUUCUGCCUUUGAAGAUCUUGUACUUCAAUCUUGACCCAGUAUGAUGACAUAUGGGUGUUCUGCACAAGUACUGAAGGUCAUGCUCUGAAGCAGAAUAAGAAAGAGAAGGCCAAUUAUUAGAUAGUGGCUCGCUGAUUUACUUAAAGCACUGCUUGUAUUGCCCAUUUGGCAAUCAUACUUUCAUUUGCUUCCUGGAACAAAAUGACUUGAAAAAGAAGGCCAAACAGUGGGUUGGUGUGAAAGGUUCAGGCAUUACACCGGCCUGCCUGGUGGGUCUGAGCAGGUCUCUUGGGUUUUAGACCCUGGUACUGACUGUUCAUUCGUUUCUUAGACCUACGUGGUCACACAUCUUUCUGCCUCACUCGUGGAGAAAAAAGGCCACUUCUGCUAGCAGACGGAAAUGUGCCUAUCUUGGCUAUCUUAACCAUGUGCCUACCUUGAAAACAUGUUUACAGUGACCUACCUGUAGGCACACUCACUAAGUCUAGUCAGCUUCUGCUGGCCAAGCCUGCUCUCAGAUACAAUUCAUUUACUUUUUGUCUCUUUUAUGCUUUUUAUUUUUGCCUCUAAUUUCUUCCUUUACUGGCCCUGUUGCGUAUGGCUUGUUUAUGGAAUACUGUGCCUUUCCAGGGUCCCCUGUUCUAUCUGCAGCAAAUCUUCCUUCUCAUCACUGACUAUCUCUUUAAAUCUGUCUGUUUGCUACAAGUGUGGAUCAAAAAAUUACACUCUGGUUCUUCCUUCUUACUUUUAUCCAGUCCUUUUUAAUGUAUCUAUAUGUGCGUGUAUAUGUAGCCACUAUUAAGGAAUGUAAGGUAACUUUAUAUACAAUUUAAAUUCAACUAUACUAAAUAUCAAAUACUUCUAAAUUGUUAUAUUUUUAAAUGAUGGUAAACAUUUAAAGUUAUAAAGGUCUACUUCAAAAUAACAAAAUAUUUAUAGCACCCAGCCCUUCCUGUAAACUGUUUACAAAGAUAAGACAAUUACAAAAGAUUUUUCUCUAGUCACUUACGUGCUUAAGGUAAGUCACUAAAGAUAAAUUUUAUCUGCUAAGUAUACUAAACAGACAAACAGCCCUCAAAUGCUCAGAGAUCUAGAGAACAUGGCAUUUAAAUGUUUUAUUAAAAAGCUUUUCAUAACAGACAGGCCAGCUGCUGGCACCACCCCCCCCAUUCCCUCCAAGAAGACUGGUGGGCACUGAAGAAACUCCACCCACAAAGUGACAAUGCUGGCCACUAAGUAACCUUGCCUUCACCUCAACUGCUUCAAAGGACUCUUCACUGGACAAGAGGACACUGGAAUCGACUUUUCUCCACGUUCCUCGGGUCAACAGUAGGAAAGCCUUCCUAAAAAGUCCCCAACCCAUGGGUCUCAUGCUAUCAGCAGAAGGCAGGUGUCCUUGGAGCCUCUGACUUCAACAAUUGUGGAGGACUUUGGGUGUGGUUGUCCACGCAGUCAGCUAGUAAGUCUCUCAUUCUCUAGUCUCAGGUAAAAUCUUAUCCUUCUCAAGAGCUCUGAUGCUUUUGAUGAUUGGUAGCUUUGCCAGCUUAAAGUAACAGACAAGGCAAAGCUGUCAUAAAACAGAUUUCA